AUGUUGCAAGCACAAAAGAAGGGCCAUAACACGAGGGUACGCAUGCUGAAAGUCAAAGAGAUCAACGACCGAUGGACGAUGGUGGAGCGAGCCUUCACCAACCAAGAGUGGCUCGGAGGGAGACCGUGGUCCAAACAUAUGAUUUAUGCCUCGUCGGACCAGGACGACUGGUGGGGUACCAAAGCCUUCCCCGGCAUCGUCUCGGCCAUCGUGAACGCGCAGAAGCUCAACACGUCGGAAUCUUGGCGGCUGUUGCGGCAUGAGAUUUACAUGGGUGCAAGGACCUUAUUUGUUAUGAAAUGGCAUAUUGUUAUUCGUAUGUGUAUUAUUGACUUGCCAAAUUCUUGA
rnacentral:rRNA from 1 species